GUAGUACUCCCUCCGAUCCUAAAUUCUUGUCUCAAAUUUGCUCAAAUAUGAAUGUAUCUAUUCUUAAAAAGUGUCUGGAUACAUGUAAUAUUUCGACAACAAUUUAGGAUCGGAGGGAGUAGUAA
rfam:Brachypodium distachyon strain Bd21 chromosome 1, whole genome shotgun sequence.